UGGUCGAUUUCUCUAGAAUGAAGGUGAAGAUGGACUAUGAAGGCUAUGAAAGGAGGGUCAAGAAGGUUGUGUGUUCUUUAGCAGAUUUUGAAUCUUGCACACAGCAAAUCAGACAUUCAUGCCUUCAUUGACAAAUUUGCAGACAACGGGUUAAGGUCACUUGCUAUAGCAUACUACCAGGAAGUUCUAAAGAGACCUAAAGAGACCCCUGGAGGACUAUGGCAGUUUGUUGGGCUAAUGUCUCUGUCAUCCGCCACGUCAUGAUAGUGCUGACACAAUUCAAAGGGGGUUUGAAUCUUGGGUAA